GAUGAAGAACGCAGCGAAAUGCGAUACGUAAUGUGAAUUGCAGAAUUCAGUGAAUCAUCGAGUCUUUGAACGCACAUUGCGCCCCCUGGUAUUCCGGGGGGCAUGCCUGUCCGAGCGUCAUUGCUGCCCUCAAGCACGGCUUGUGUGUUGGGCCUCCGUCCUCCUCCCGGGGGACGGGCCCGAAAGGCAGCGGCGGCACCGCGUCCGGUCCUCGAGCGUAUGGGGCUUCGUCACCCGCUCUUGUAGGCCCGGCCGGCGCUUGCCGACACAUCAAUCUUUUUUCCAGGUUGACCUCGGAUCAGGUAGGGAUACCCCCUGAACUUAAGCAUAUCAAUAAGCGGAGGA
rnacentral:misc_RNA from 1 species